rnacentral:lncRNA from 1 species
GCCACUGAUUAGCUUGGAUAACUCUUUUUCCACUUGGAUCUCAGUCUCUUCCUCUAUAAAAUGAGUGGAUUGGGUUAAAUGAUCUCAAAGAGUUCCUUCAAACACUAACAUCCUAUGAUCCUUCUUUUGGGUUGGUCUCUCAGUUAGAUUUGGGUUUCCAGAUCACUUUGCUUUUUCUUCCCUCUGGCUUGGGUAAUGGAUAGGAAGAAUAGUUGUUCAUGGGAAGUAGUCUGGAAAUGACAUAUUUUUCCAUCCAGAUGUUACAAGCAUGUUCUUUCCCUUCUCUUCAUGUUUUUUUGAGCUCUCCCUUUUCCUUCAGCUUUGACUUAUCUACACUAUUUACUUUCCAAGACUCUUCUUCUAUUAGCCAAUGACAGUAUUAAACUCUUUUGGUCCACUUCCUCUGUAAAUGAUUGUUCCAAAUUUCCACUAUUUCUCUCUUCCAAGACAAUGUCUACCUGCUCUGUCAAUAGUCAAGUGUUGAGUCUUUCAUUUUUCUUCUUAAUAGUCAAUUCUUUCUUUGUUCCUUCCAAGUGGCCCUCUGCCCAGAGAAAUAUAAGCAGCUAGUUAAAAUAAAAAAAAAAAAGGCUGUCCCUCAAUGACCAUGGUUUCUGAAGGAGGUAUUUAUGCUAAACUAUAGUCCAAUCGAUUCCUUGAUCUUGCUUGGUGGCUUUUAAAGCCAUGUCUCUAUACUUACUUACUUGAAUUUUUUCAAACUAAUAUAUCUGUUUCUUAAUUAUCAUUUUAAUUUUUAGGAAUACUUUUUAACCUCUUGCCAUUAACUAACUGACAGCCCUGAAUAAAUCACAAAUACCCCCUUUGAACAUCAGUCAUUUCAUUUAUAAAAUGAGGGUUUUGGGUAGGUAGAUUUGUAAGGCUCUUUCCUGCUUCCUACAUUUCUUGGAGAUGUGAGCUUUUCAGAAUCAGAACUUUUGGUUUACAGCACACUGGGGCUGAAAAGGGGAAAUUUUGUUUACAUCAUAAUGUUUGAAGAAAAUGAAAUAUGAUUUUGAACUAAAGUUUCCCAAACUAACUCAUUUAUCUCUUCUGUCAGAAAUAUAUUUCUUUCCUCAGUUUUGUCAUUUUGUCUUGAUGGCCUUCAGUUUCCCAUGGCCUUGGCUCUCUUUCUUCACUCAUCAUCUGAUCUAGAAUCCCAUCUCCAAAAAGGUAACAAGAUGCCUUCCUCAGGGAUCUUGAGUCUUAUGCCCUAUACCUUAGGUUCAUUUCUUUCUAUGUUCACCAAGCAAGCAUUCCAACAAAUCCUGGGUUUGGAAGUUUUUCGGAUUCUGCUGCUAUAGAUUGUUUUAAUAAUAACUUUAUAUACAUACAUGUGGGAUUACAUGGUCUGAAGUUACUAACAUGCUGGGAGCUCAGUUUUUGUGCAUUUAACACCUGAACUGCUUAACAUUUUAUUCAUGGCGCACAGGAGGGAUUUUUUUCCAAAUUUCCUACUGGUAUUUGUGUACCUUCUUUGGAAACAAAAAAAAUGACACAAAAGAGAAUUAUGUCCUUAUGGUGAUGACUUUUUGAUAUUCAUAUAGAAGCAAUAGAUCCUUUCAGAGAUAUUUACAGUAUUAUUAAAAGAAAGGGUUGUAUUACUGUUUUACACAGCUGAAGUUUUUAUUUGGUAUUCAAAGGGCACAAAAAUUUUUUGUCUGCUUACUCAUUUUUAAAAAUUAAAGAAGUGAACAAUGUGUGACAAUUGUCUUGCUAUUAUGUUCCCUUUAAUUUUCCUUGAUCAUCCUCUUUAUGUGUCAUAUUGGGUCCCAGGAUUGUUGGAUAAGCCCCACAGCUAGUGGGAAGAGCUUUGAACUUAUGGUGAGAAGACCAAG